CCAGGUUAUCACUAAGCUCUCCCACACUAUUUUCUGCCCAUAUUUCUAGGCUUGGUAACCUAAUUAACCUCAUCUUCUUCAACCUUGGAAAAAUUUGAAGAGGGGUAAUGCAUCCUCCGGCUUUGACAUCAAGGUUAUUACAUAAUGUGGUCAGGUUAUCCAUCUUCUGCAAGGACAAAAUUUUCAGAGAGACCGAGAACCAUAUGACAGGUUUAGUAACUUUAUCAAACACAGCUUCUUCAACCUUGGGAAAAUUUGCAGAGGGGUAAUGCGUCCUCCACCUUCCACAUCAAGGUUAUUACAUAAUGUUGUCAGGUUAUCCAUGUUAUAUAAGGACAAAAUCUCUAGAGAGAAUGAGAGCCAUAUUACAGGCCACCAUAUCCACGUAUCUCGAACUUUUGGAUAUUACUAUGAGGUUCUAAACACUGGAGCACUUCUUCCACACCAUUAGGCUUAUCAUACCUUUCUUGGUCCCAAGAGAACAACAACUCACUUAUAUUUUUCUUCUGACUAAGAUUGGCUUCUUUUGCAUUCUCACCACUCUUUAUCUUGCUCAAAUUCAACAGUUCCAACCUAUUGCUAAGGUGUUGUAAUUCUUUGAGCUGCUCUAUGCCAAGGCCAUCUCCGGUAUCCACUACAAAUGUCGUUAAUAUGUGAAGGUUGUUCAAUAGACCAAAGUUUGGAGACAUACUUCUAAGACUACCACAACCAGAAAGAUAAAGAUGGCUAAAGAAACAGAAGAUGAACAACUGAUUGAACAGCAAAACAAGGUAAUUAAGGAUUGAGGAGGGCAUUCACCUCAACAACGCCCAAUUUGAUCUUUGGUGAAAGAGGAACUAUACUGCUGCUCGUUCGUUGCCACCCCUAUGCAGGUCUCUCACGCAUUGAGGCUACUUGGUAUGGGUGGGAUUGUGCGGUUGUUGGAGAGUGGACAAUGGCAAAUGGAGACAAGAUCAAGGAAUCCAAGAGCUGUAUAUGACUGACAAUGCGCGAAGAGAUAAGAAUAACAUGCAUCCAACUGCUGCGAAGACUGGUUCAGCAUGGAUGGGCAAGACAUUGUUUUCUAUCUAUCAUUUGCUAUAUAACUUAAUUUUGUUCACACUUAAUUUUUCUUCUUUUAUUGGCUACUGCUCCAGGACAAAUUGAAAACCAGAAAUCUCAUAAGUAGGUAGAAUUUCUGUGUGGAAUGUAUUACCUGCAUCAAUUCUUUCAGGCCCAAACAAAAACUCGGUUCUCUACCUGUGAUUUUUGUUUAGCGCAUCUUCUUCUUCUAGUGUUUACAUCACCAAAAAAAAUUGGUUCUAAUAACGGUUGCUGGGGCACGUAAGUAAACUAAAAUUAUGAAGGGAAGCUGGAGUGUAAGAUAAAUCAUCAGCAGGGCAAAUAUAUCUACAGGAAACAAAUAUCAGUUUCCAACCAGAUUUGUCCCAUCCUCACUUUCAGAUGCACAAUGAGGUAUGAUAUAGAUCAAGUGAACUCUGUAAGGUUCUUUGUGGUUCUGUCGGCAUUUCUCUCCAGCUGCACAAUGAGGUAUGGUAUAGAUCAAUUUUACGGUCAUCAGAGUUCUAUAUGUGUCUUCAUAAUGUGUCACAUCUUCAUAGGUGAGUCGGUCUGAACGUUAGGCCGUGGAGUCAAGAUACACAUGAAGGAGUUACAUAAAAUAGGCAUAUAGCACAAGAACAACUGGAAAUUGCUCCGGAGUUGGGACUUUGUGAGAAAGGCGCAGGAAGCUUCCUAGAAACAUUAUGCCAUUGUAAUUUGGUUACAUUUUCUACGAUGAUGGCGAUGUAUAUUCUAAAUCCAAUCCCUUCCAACCUGCUA